UACGGAGGAUGCGAGCGUUAUCCGGAUUUAUUGGGUUUAAAGGGUGCGUAGGCGGUAUUUUAAGUUAGUGGUAAAACGUCGGGGCUUCACCUUGAUUGGCCAUUAAAACUGGAGUACUAGAGUACAGACGAGGUAGGCGGAAUGAGUUAAGUAGCGGUGAAAUGCUUAGAUAUAACUUAGAACCCCGAUAGCGAAGGCAGCUUACCAGACUGUUACUGACGCUGAAGCACGAGAGCGUGGGUAGCGAACAGG
rnacentral:rRNA from 1 species